rnacentral:rRNA from 1 species
AGCCGCGGUAAUACGUAGGGUGCGAGCGUUGUCCGGAAUUAUUGGGCGUAAAGAGCUUGUAGGCGGUUUGUUGCGUCGGGAGUGAAAACUCGGAGCUUAACUCCGAGCUUGCUUCCGAUACGGGCAGACUAGAGGUAGGCAGGGGAGAGCGGAACUCCUGGUGUAGCGGUGGAAUGCGCAGAUAUCAGGAAGAACACCGGUGGCGAAGGCGGCUCUCUGGGCCUAUUCUGACGCUGAGGAGCGAAAGCGUGGGUAGCGAAC